rnacentral:rRNA from 1 species
GACGAACGCUGGCGGCGUGCCUAAUACAUGCAAGUAGAACGCUGAAGGAGGAGCUUGCUUCUCUGGAUGAGUUGCGAACGGGUGAGUAACGCGUAGGUAACCUGCCUGGUAGCGGGGGAUAACUAUUGGAAACGAUAGCUAAUACCGCAUAAUAGCAGUUGUUGCAUGACAACUGUUUGAAAGGUGCAAUUGCACCACUACCAGAUGGACCUGCGUUGUAUUAGCUAGUUGGUGGGGUAACGGCUCACCAAGGCGACGAUACAUAGCCGACCUGAGAGGGUGAUCGGCCACACUGGGACUGAGACACGGCCCAGACUCCUACGGGAGGCAGCAGUAGGGAAUCUUCGGCAAUGGACGGAAGUCUGACCGAGCAACGCCGCGUGAGUGAAGAAGGUCUUCGGAUCGUAAAGCUCGGUUGUAAGAGAAGAACGAGUGUGAGAGUGGAAAGUUCACACUGUGACGGUAUCUUACCAGAAAGGGACGGCUAACUACGUG